CAGUCGCCACGGGAAUACGAAGGGUGCAAGCGUUAAUCGGAAUUACUGGGCGUAAAGCGCGCGUAGGUGGUUUGGUAAGAUGGAUGUGAAAUCCCCGGGCUCAACCUGGGAACUGCAUCCAUAACUGCCUGACUAGAGUACGGUAGAGGGUGGUGGAAUUUCCUGUGUAGCGGUGAAAUGCGUAGAUAUAGGAAGGAACACCAGUGGCGAAGGCGACCACCUGGACUGAUACUGACACUGAGGUGCGAAAGCGUGGGGAGCAAACAGGAUUAGAUACCCGCGUAGUCCCUGUCUCUUAUAC
rnacentral:rRNA from 1 species